rnacentral:lncRNA from 1 species
CAAGUCUUUCCCAUGCUGUUCUUGUGACAGUGAAUAAGUCUCACAAGAUCUGACGGUCUUUAAAAGAGGAAUUCCCCUGCACAAGUUCCCUCUCUUUGCCUGCUAUCAUCUAUGUAAGACGUGACUUGCUGUACUUUGCCUUCUGCCAUGAUUGUGAGGCUUCACCAGCCCUGUGGAACUGAGGGAAGUGUUUUUCUCAAAAACACAUUGUAGUGUUCUGUGGAAGGCAGCAAGAAAUGAAGCUGAAAUGGAAGGCAGAAUAUAGACUGUGAACAGUCCUGAAAUCUUAACCAACACAGGGACUACGUCCUGAGAUUUUUGAAGACCUCUAAAGAUCUUCAAAGGACCUUGAAACUACCAUUACUUCAUGCAGCCUUCUCUUUUAAAAACAUGUAUAUUUUAUAAGUUCAAAAUGUAAUUCUGCUCAUUGAUUUACAUAUGCUGCAAGGUCCCUCUAGGAUUUGCCAUUAGUGAGAUUUUAACAUGUGUCUCUACAAAUUUAAAGAAAUGAGAUGGAAAGGACAUAUUCAUAUUACAAUCAGGCAAAGAGUCUAAUCCAAGACUAUUAAUGCUGAGGCUUCACUAAAAUCCAAGUGGCAGGACAACUGGAAAGUACAAGUUCUCUUAGUGGAAGCCUACCAACAAUCAAUAUAUUUAAUGAUAUUCCAUGAGCUAGGAUCAUUUUCCCUAGCAAUAAAAAUGAUUAUGCAUGAUAUAAAAUUACAAACAGGAGCAAAUAUAUUUGAAAAAACAAACACACCAGAAAGCAAAAAUUGUCAGUUUAAGAAUUGAUUCCCAUAUUCCAGUGCUAAUGUGGAUCAGGAAAAAGAAAACUUGAAUACUUCAUGUGAGAAAAAUUUGGGGUAAAUUCUAUGAAUUCAGCACAGCUACAUUUGUUCACAAGACUAUGUAACCAAUAUAUGUUCCUAAUACAAGUAAUGAUGUAGCUUUAUUUGGAUUUAUGAUAGCCUAUAUCAUAAAAUACCAAAAUAGUAAUCAGCCUCCACUAAAUAAUGUUUAAACUUCUCUCUAAUGAAUAGAGAGAAAUGUGUCCACCAAUAUCUGGUAUGUUUGCCUUAAUUUUCCUAUGUCUCCCAAAGUUGCCAAGCAAAUAGAUUUUCUUGAAUUCUGCCUGCCUCCUUCCUCUUCAAUAUUCAAUCCCCUUUGUUAUUAACAGAAAGCAAAAUUGGCUCUUUUUCUCAACCUUUCCAUUAAUAUUUGAAACUUAUUUAUAUGUUAGGUAAUUUUUGUUAGCACAAAAUCAGUAGAAGACAUCAAAGUUUAAGAAAAAACAAUUAGGGUGAAGACACAAAUUGAGAAAUUUAUACAAGGAGACUUCAAAAAGUUUGUAAAAAUGUAUAUUAUGAAAAAAAAUUACGCAUAGAUUUCCUUUUUUUUUUUUUUUUUUUUUUUUACCAAAUGGACUUCUACCAUCUUCUUAUAACAUGUUUGAAUAGAAUCUACUUUCAUGCACCAAGAAGGAUAAAAUACUAGUUUGAAAAAAUUCCCCUAUCAGAGCAACAUGAAUUCUGCAAAAAUUACAUGAAGAACAAACAUCAAACUUAUGGUGAGGUUUGGGUGGAAGAAUGGUGAAAUUCAUUGAUGCUUUACAAAAAGUGUAUGGGAACAACGCACCCAAACAAUCAGGAGUUUACAAAUGGAUAACUCAUUUUAAGAAGGAAUGAGAGAAGAAGAUGAAGCCUGCAAAAGCACACCAUUCACAUCAAUUUGUGAGGAAAAAUAUCAUCUCGUUUGUGCUCUAAUUGAAGAGGAUCAAUGUUUAACAGAAGAAACAAUAGCUAAUUGCCUAGACAUCUCAACUGAUUCAGCUUACACAAUUCCACUCAAGGGAUGCCAAAACUUUUGUGCCCAGAUCAGCUGCAGACGAGAACAAAGCUUUCAAUUUCAAUGGAAAUUUUAAACAAGUAGGAUCAAGACCCUGAAGCAUUUCUUUGAAGAACUAUAACAGGAGAUGAAACAUGGCUUUACCAGUACAAUCCUGAAGACAAAGCACAACCAAAGCAAUGGCUACCAAAAGGUGGAAGUGGUUCAGUCAAAGCAAAAACAGACUGGUCAAGAGCAAAGGUCAUGGCAACAGUUUUUUGGGAAGUUCAAGGCAUUCUGCUGGUUGACUUUCUGGAGAAACCAAGGAAAAUACUGCUUAUUAUAAGAGGGUUUUGAGACAGUUAACCAAAGCUUUUGCAGGAAAGCUUCACCAGAGAGUCCUUUCUACUGCAACAAUGCUCCUGCUCAUUCCUCUCAUCAAACAAGGGUAAAUUUGAAAGUUUCAGUGGGAAAUCAUUAGGCAUUCAUGGUUUUUUGUUUUGUGUUGUUUUGAAAUGGAGUUUUGCUCUUGUCACUCAGGCUGGAGUGCAAUGGCACAAUCUCGGCGCACUGCAACCUCUGCCUCCCGGGUUCAAGGGAUUCUCUUGCCUCAGCCUCCUGAGUAGUUGGGAUUACAAGUGCAUGACAGUAUGCCUGGCUAAUUUUUGUAUUUUUGGUAGAGAUAGGGUUUCACCAUGUUGGCCAGGUUCGUCUCAACCUCCUGACCUCAGGUGAUUUGCCCGCCUUGGCCUCCCAAAGUGCUGGGAUUACAGGUGUGAGCCACCACACCCAGCCAGGCAUUCACCUUAUAGUCCUGAUUUGGCUCCUUUUGACUUCCUUUUCUUUUGUAAUCUUAAAAAACUCUUUACAGGGCACUCAUUUUUCUUAAGUUAAUAAUGUAAAAAAGAUGGCAUUGACAUGGUUAAAUUCCCAGGACCCUCCUUAGAGAUGGACAAAAUGGCUGGUAUCAUUGCUUACAAAAGUGUCUUGAACUUGAUAGAGCUUUGUUGAGAAAUAGAGUUCAUAUUUUUAAAUUUAUAUUUUAAUUCCAUUUUUAAUUCCCUUUUUAUAUACAUUCAAUUUUUCUAUAAUUCAAUUUUUCUCUAAACCUUUUGUAGUCCCUUCAUAUUUAUUACCUUGCUUUGUAUGUCUGUAACUUAGAAAAACUGCACCAAUUCAAUUUAUUUGUGGCAUAUCUAUAACCUCCAAAAUAGUAUAGUUUGAGCAGCAUGACUAUAAAUAUUUAAAAUAUAUGUAUAUAAUAAAUGUGCUAUCACAUUACAAUUUUUUCUUACUUUACAAGUAGCACUAUAUUCACCGUCCAUACAAGUUUUACUCUUUGAAGAAUACAUCUAUCUUGUCAUUAUCAUUAGAAAUUAGGAAAUACUUUUGGUUCCUAGAUUCCACAGAAACAUAUGAGAUCCAAUUACUACAGUUAAAUAAAAGCACUUAUGCUGACCUUGAUAUAAUUAAAUCAAUACCUAGAUGCUGAAAACAAAAAAGUCUAGGGAGUUGAAAGGCCAGCUCUCCAAUUAAUUAAAGCAAAACUGUUAUCAUGUAAGAAGUGAUAUUAUCUAAAGUGAAAAACAAAACAGAAGACCAGAAACCUGAGAAUCAUCCUCUACUCCUUUUUCUCUCUCAUCCCCAACAUCUAAUUGGCCAUAAAGCUUUUCAAUUAUAUCUUAUUAAUAUCUCUUGAAUCUGCUGCCAUUUCAUCUACACAACCACAACUACUGCCUUCAGAGUUUCCCUUGUGAACCAAUGCAACAGCCUCCUCUUAAAUUUCUUUCCUUGGGCUUAUUCUCACCAUGUAAUGCAUACUUCACUUUCCAAAAUAAAAAGUCCUCUUUAAAAUUCAAAACUUUUGUUACUCUAAAAAUCCAAGUCCUUCAAUGAGGCUACUCUUUCUCCAAGAAAAAAGCCUAUGCCACAUUUUAAAUCUAUACCAUUUGACUACUCCAGCUAUGUGGGUUUAUCUCAUCAGCUAUAAAGGGUAGCAUUUAUUAAGGGUUUACUAUAUAACUGGCACUGCAAUAAGCACUUUAUUUAUUUAAUUAUAAAGCAAUCUUUCAAAUUAGAACUAUGUAUUAUGGGUGAGAUAACUUGGUUUUUAGGGAACCUCAAAAAUUUUCUGAGUGUCACAUGGCCAUCAAAUGGCAGCGUCAAGAUAGAAACCUGAGUCUGACUCCAGAGUAAAUGCUCUUAUAUCUAUCUGCAUUCCAGGAGGUCCCUUCAAAUGCCAAGCCAUUCUCAUAUCUAUCUUUAAAUUCUUAUUUGCCAGAAGGAAUUCUUUUGACUUUUGAUGAGGUUUUCCCUGACUCUACCACCAGUAACCCCUAAUACAAAUGAUCUCCACCUUCUCUGUUCAUCACCUAAAUUAUACAAGAUAUUUUCAUACUUUGGCCAUUGUGAGAGUCACUUUGGGACCUUGGUAAAAAUGCAAAUACUUGAGUGAAUCUCAGAUAAACUGACUUGACAUUCUGGGUUGGUAGCCUUGUCAUCUGGAGUUUCUAAAAGACUUCAAGAUGAUUGCAAUGCACAAUUAUCUGAGAAGUACUAACUUACAUAAACAUAUUAAUAGUGCUUACACCAUUUUGCAAUUGCUCUACUUGUUUACAUGUCCUUACUCUUAAUUAGUCUAAAAAUAUUUUAAGGCUAGAUGUUACACAAAUUUGCAGCACCUACACCUAGAAAAU